AAAAUCCGUCGACNUUAGAAAUCGUGAGGGUUCAAGUCCCUCUUUCCCCN
rnacentral:tRNA from 1 species